rnacentral:lncRNA from 1 species
AUCUAGAGUAUUUGAAAUUUAUAGAAAAUAAAUUUUAUAAAUUUUCGAAAUCAUUAUAAAGUCCAUCAAGCGAGUAUAAAAUGAAUGGUUAAAAUCGAAUGACAUCCUAAAAAUGGAUGAUCGGAUCCUUCAAUUUAAGAUCGGAGUUAUUGAUCUUUAUUUAGGUAGUGAAUAGAAUUUUCUAUCAAAAAUUCAACCUAUUUCGAUUCUUUUUCACCGUUAAACUAGCAAAUAUCUCAUACCGGUCGUUAAAAAUUGUCGAUUUUGUAACCUUUUGAUCGUAAAGUAAAUGAUAUUGAAAAAUUAUAAAAUUUAAUUUCUA